UUUAAAAUAGUGCAAGUCAAGAUUGUAGUUAUUUCACUACCAAGUUGGGUGACAAUAUAUGCUAAAUCAUAUCAAUAUAUAUACAUCAUACAGCAUCUGACUAUAUAUAUAUAUAU